rnacentral:rRNA from 1 species
GAAUUUUAUAUAAAUUUUUAUAUUAAUAAUUAAAUUAUAAAUGUUUAUUAAUUUAUUAGUUUAUAUUUAAUUGGGAGGAUUAUUAAAUUUGUAGAACUUUAAAGUAAUAAAACAUUGAUGUAUGGAAUUUUUAUGAUUAAAAUUUUUAUAAUUUUAUAUAAGAAUUAAUUACCUUAGGGAUAACAGCGUAAUAUUUUUAGAAAGAUCUUAUUAAUAAGAAUGAUUGC